GGACGCUGUCCUAGAUGUCCCUGUGAGGGGCCUGCUACCCACCCAGAGCAGGGAGAGCUGCGCCCUGCAGGCCGCAGGGAGCCAGGCCUGUUCCCACUGUGCAGUCAGACGCACCGAGCUCCAGUCACUUCCGGCUCUGAGCUCCGCUUCCUCAUCUGUUUGGCGCGCAUAAAAUAAUGCGCGGGUCUCGGUUUCCAGUGUGCUAACAGGCUGGGGAGCCCGUACCCAGUAGGCCUGUCGCGAGUGGACGCCCGUGCUCGGAAGUGGCUCAGUGUGUCGUGGGAUCAUGCGAGAAAGGUAAGCCGAUUUCCUCACGGCUAGAAGCGCGUCUCCCCUCCCCUCCUCCCUUACUGCUUCCCUCGCCACAGCGCCCUGUGGGCCUGAAAGCCCGAGAGGCCCAGGCCAGGCCAAGCUGCACUGGGAGUUAAGCCCCGGGAACCAGGGCCCCACGCAUUCUGCCCCCACCCGGCCUGAUUUUCCCCGGGCGCGGCUCCUCCUUGUCUGGCCUUGUCUCCCUGGCUCCUGUCCUUGGCCAGUGGCCGGCCACACUUCACCUUCUAACAGCCGGCCCUGGGGCAGGGAAAUGAGAUCCAUUCCACAGCCCAGCCAGGGAUCCGGGGAAGGAGCGCCAGGGUCUCUGGACACCGACCCGCAGAGCAGCCCAGGGCAGGUGCUCUGUUCUCUGAAAGCUCCAACUGGGGACGCAGGUGCAGGUGCGUCUGCCUUGUUUGUGCAGGAAACCCUGGUGACAGCGCUGUGAAGUGAUGAUGUCCCUUGGCAGGUUUGUCCCUCAGGAAGCUCACGUGCAGCACUUGGGAAGAAUGGGUUCAACCCAGGCCCACUGCUGGGUAACCAGUGCCCGGGCCUCCCAGGGCCUCACCGCUCACACUCCAUUCAGCAGACCCAGGACGUCAGAGAGCCAGAAGAACUGGGCUGAAGGCAGGGAGUUUGGCUCGGCCUUUCCUGAGCUGCACCGCUGGCCGGACUCUGCUGGAGCAGCUUCACCCGAGCCUCCACUCUCUCUGCAGGCCCUGCUCUGGCUCCUGCGCCUUCCUCGAAGAGCAGGGCGCAUCUCCCCGGGAACCUGGCCUCAGGGGCUCCAGGGACCCCAGCUGCAGCGGGGCAGCCCCACCCCAGGCAGCCCCUCCAUCCUGUCUUCCUUCGCUCUUUGCCUUGAGCGUGGCUCUCCAGGGUGUGAGGCGCCUGGUGGCUCUGGCAGCCGACGUGGUCCUCACAUGGGUCCCGACUCCAAAUGCAAGCAUCUUUGUCAUCGCUUCCUUUCCCCCGUUUCCUGGGAAUUCAGCACGUUUCAGGACACAGCCUACACUUUCUGCAACAAGACUGCCCUUGCCUGCUUGACUCUCCUCGCCGUUCCCAGGCGACUUUGGAUCUACAAGUGUGAUGGAAGAAUACAGUGAAUGAGUAAAUAAAAAUCUCUUACAGUAAAGGACUCAUUCAUCAUCCCCUCCCUUGUCCUGCUCACUUCAGUACACACAUCCCAUUCUUUUCGCCCUUGUCUGAAACAAUUUGCAGCUUAUAUUUAUGGAGAUUUCUGUCAAAUCAAAAUAUUAGGCUGUGUCUUUAUCCACACCAGAUCUGCCACCACGUGACUUCCAGCUCUCAAAAUGACCAUGGCAGUGCACGUUUUGAGUGGAUUCAGGACAUCGAGGCAGCCACGAUAGCACAACUAAAGACACUCUUGAAAGAAGGCUCGCGGAACUGCUCCAGAAAGUGGCAAGAAUGAUGGGAUAAGUGCGUUCGCUGGGAGAGGGAGUAUUUUAAGGACGAUUCAUGGGACAGGGUCUUCUACUGUAAUAAUUGAAAGAAUUGAAGCAUUCACCUCUUUUUUUUUAAUCAUUCUGCCUACCGUAGUCAUUGCAUGCACGGCUGCGUAUUAGGAAGUUUCUGUGUACGGCCACGCUCCUCCUCACUCACCGCUGGAAUGAGAUUGUAAGCUCUUUGAGAGCAGGGAACAUUCCUUACUCAUAUUUAUCAUCCCGAGGCUUUGGGUCUCGGAGGGACUUCUGAAGCCAGGUCAGAUCUUGCCCUCUAGCAGCUCUGUGGCCUGGGAAGGAGAGGGGAAGAGACCACAGUGGCGACACAGUCACGGGAGGAAUACUGGGAAUGAGCCACCCCUGCCUGAUGCAUGGAUUUGAAACCAACCCUUAGGGGAGAAUUUUAUCGUUGGUGCCUUUGACUUUGCUUUGUUUGGCUUAUUUAUCUUUUCCUUUUUUGUUUUGUACCGGGGAUCAAACUCAGGACCUUGCACUUGCGAGGCAGGCACGGUGCCGCAGAGCUAAAUCCCUGGCCCAUUUUUUCCUUUUGAUGAAUUCUAUCUUCUCUGAUUUGCAGUGAGAUUUUGGGACAAUAAGCUUUCUUAGUAUUGAGCCUCAGUUUCUUCAAUUAUAACCUGAGGGUGGAUUUGUUUUUGCUAAGUGAGGCGCCUUCUGGAAGAAACUCUGGCAAGGCUGGGACCAAUGCUGCAUAAGGGAGAGCGCUGUAGAAGCCUGGAGGCUGUGAGAGGCCAUCACAGGGC
rnacentral:lncRNA from 1 species